UACUCGAGUGGCGAACGGGUGAGUAACACGUGGGUGAUCUGCCCUGCACUUUGGGAUAAGCCUGGGAAACUGGGUCUAAUACCGAAUAUUUCCUUUUGGUCGCAUGGCUGGGAGGGGAAAGCUUUUGCGGUGUGGGAUGGGCCCGCGGCCUAUCAGCUUGUUGGUGAGGUUAUGGCUUACCAAGGCGACGACGGGUAGCCGGCCUGAGAGGGUGACCGGCCACACUGGGACUGAGAUACGGCCCAGACUCCUACGGGAGGCAGCAGUGGGGAAUAUUGCACAAUGGGCGCAAGCCUGAUGCAGUGACGCCGCGUGGGGGAUGACGGCCUUCGGGUUGUAAACCUCUUUCAAUAGGGACGAAGCGCAAGUGACGGUACCUAUAGAAGAAGGACCGGCCAACUACGUGCCAGCAGCCGCGGUAAUACGUAGGGUCCGAGCGUUGUCCGGAAUUACUGGGCGUAAAGAGCUCGUAGGUGGUGUGUCGCGUCGUCCGUGAAAACUCACAGCUUAACUGUGGGCGUGNGGGCGAUACGGGCAGACUUGAGUACUGCAGGGGAGACUGGAAUUCCUGGUGUAGCGGUGGAAUGCGCAGAUAUCAGGAGGAACACCCGUGGCGAAGGCGGGUCUCUNGGCAGUAACUGACGCUGAGGAGCGAAAGCGUGGGGAGCGAACAGGAUUAGAUACCCUGGUAGUCCACGCCGUAAACGGUGGGUACUAGGUGUGGGUUUCCUUCCUUGGGAUCCGUGCCGUAGCUAACGCAUUAAGUACCCCGCCUGGGGAGUACGGCCGCAAGGCUAAAACUCAAAGAAAUUGACGGGGGCCCGCACAAGCGGCGGAGCAUGUGGAUUAAUUCGAUGCAACGCGAAGAACCUUACCUGGGUUUGACAUGCAAAACGUGCAACGUACGUGGCCUA
rnacentral:rRNA from 1 species